CUGGAGGACCUGCUCCUAUACUUCGUUCAGUCAACGAAGUGUCCGCAAAAACAUGGCGGAUUUUGAGUGAAAAUGACGCCAUUUCCAUGACUACUGGUCACUGAGCUAUAAUAUAUCUGGAGGAAGUGCUCCUAUCUCUCUUCAGUCAAGCAAGUGAAGCCAAAAACAUGGCGGAUUUUCAAGGAUUUUCACGUUUGCUGACGCCAGAAUGACGCCACUGGUCCCAAAUCCUCGUGGUAAUUACCACUGAGCAAGGCUCAUUUUGAGCCCGCUACCACUUUCUCAUCCCCCUGAUUUUCACAAAAAUAUUUUAGCUUUUUGUUUUGAAGUUUGCCUUGGUGUUUGCCUUCUCUUCGACAUAUUUUUAACAUUUGUAACAAGUGGUAAGAAUCAUCCUGGCUAGUGAAAGACAGGGAACGAAUAUUCAAACCUCAAGAAAUUUUGGAAAGACGUUAUUUGUAAAGGUAAAAAAAUACUGUUUAUAUGUUCAAUAUUAAUUUGUGAUAGAGUAUGUCAAAACAAAGCGAAAUAAACAGCCCAUUUGUACUGUGUAGUGGACAAUUUUAGCAACUGAUGUAUACAAUUAAGUUGCCCAAACUAUAUUAAUACGAGAAACAGUCUUCCUCGAAAGAAAAUGGUUGAAAUUUCAGAUUUUAGUUUCAUUUGUUAUUUCAAAUUUUACGAUAUAAAAUGCCAGUCGACCACCAUCUGCUUCAUGAUCAUACUUAUUAAAAUUAAAGUGGUUUCUAUUAUAUUAGUAUACCUAUAGAGGAAGACCUUUUUAAGCCAGAACUAUCAUGGCUUGGCUUUGAAUGAUUUAAUCCAUGUACUUUAUAACUGGCCACUUAUAUGGCAAUGAAAUUAUAAUGACUAAUGUGUAGAAUUAUCAAGUCUAGAUCCAAAAAUUGGCAGUUUCAUAUAUAAGAUCAGGCAUAUAUAAGAUCAAAGCUAUUUUCAUAUAUAAGAUCAGGUUUAGAGGCCUGUAGCAUUUUCUCUAGAAAUUGCAUGAGUAAAAUCAAUUUCAUAAUUAACCCGUUGAGCCGCAAUGCGCCCUACUUAUUUUUUUACUUGCCAGAUGAUUUUACUUGUCAAUGGGGAAGCUCUGCAGCUUAUCGGUUAACCAAAAAAAACUGACAAUGUCUCUAGUUAACCUAUUGAGCCGCAAUGCGCCCUAGUGUGCCCUACUUUUUUUUUACUUUCUAAAGCCAGACAAUAUUACUCGUCAAUGGGGAAGCUCUGCAGCUUAGUGGGUUAAUUAGAAAAUGAACCAUUCUUGACAUUCACUCAUGAUAUUUGAUGUUGGUAAUUCAUGUAUUUUUGGAGGAAAAUAUUUUAGACAGUGGUUGUUUGCCUCACACCAAACCCCAAUAUUUACAUGCUAUUUGUCUAAGUGAACUAUUUUCCUCAUUUUCAACAUGCCAAAGUGAUACAAAAUAAAUUUCAGUUAAAUUCAAGGAGGUCCUCGGGCCCGUAAGUUGUCAACUGACGACUAUCACCUUCAUUGUUAGUUAAGCAUAUAUCUGCUUAAGUCCUGGGUUCAAAUGAGUGGAAUUUCAAGAGCAUUCUGACUGGCUUUGUGCAAACAGGGGGCCUUACCGGUUAGGAUGAGGGCCAGUUGAGGUGUUAGGGUUGGGUGCAGGCAAGGUUCAUGUAAACUUAUUGUUAGCAAGAAUCAGAGAAGGAUUUUCAUAUUUUUGUUCGGGGGGGGGGUAAAUAUCUGGGGGGGUGAUGCUGCUUGCUUUGGCCGGGGCAACGCCUGGAAAGGCCAAGGAAAAAGUUUAACAAAAUUUGUUUUCUAUGUCUGCAUGGCAAGAUCUGAGACCAUAAUAUUGGUAAUUUUACAAAUUUAGUAGUAAGAAUAAUCAAAUAUGAAACUAUCAAAUCAAAAUAUAUAUAAUUUGUGGGGGUGCAAAAACUUUGGGGGGCAGUGCCAAAUGCCUCUUGGGGGGGGGGGGGGUUUGCAAAUAAUUUCUGUGGUACACCCCCCCCCCCCAGAAAAUCUGUGCCUGGCAAGAAUGUUAUGUGUACAUAAUCAUGUGUAAUGUUGUUUGGAUUAAUUGCAUUUAAACGUUGGAAUCCAGUGUCGAACAGUAACCACAACAAUUAUUAUAUAAAGUAUUUGGUUGUUUUAGUGUAAUAUUAAUUUCUCACAUAUUUUUUUCAGAAAUAAAGCACCAUUGAGCAACUUGUUGGGAAAGAGGAGUCACAAACUGUUGAUGAAUAUAUUUAAUUAACUACACAUAAAAUACAAUUUUAUUAACAGUAUAUUGAUUUAUGGGUUUAUUAGACCACAUUAUUUUCAUAUUAUUAAUAAUGAAAAAUAAAAUUAACAAAUAAAUUACAAAAUCAGUGUGAAAAUAUUGCAAUAAUCAAUUAAAAUGUCAAACCAGCCAAUUGUUUCAAAUUAUAGCUGUUAUCGUAAUUGAAUAUGUCUAUGCUAUGGACCAGUGGUAUCUGCAUUAUUUUAACAUCGAGACGAGGCUAUAGGGUCAUGUUUUGUGUUUUUUUACCCUUUAGCCUUGUUUUUGUCCGUACUUCCACUGAGAUACCGCUGGUUCGCCACAGCGGGUAUUCAAAUACGAUAACAGCCAUUAUGCAUUUGUGAGUGUAACCUAACCCCCUCCCCCCUGAGAGAACAAGAGAGUUGCUGUGGGCCCCUAUUAUCCCUUUUGAUAAGUCAGGCAAUCCACCACAUAAUUUUCCUUUCAAAUGCCAGACGAAUAUACUUGUCAAUGCAAGGGGAGAGCUUUGGCACUCUAUGGGUUGACCAGUAUAUGCCUAUGCAUCCUGUUAAGCCUUUGAUAAGUCUGAAUGCAACACAAUGCACCCUACUUUAUUAUUCUGUCUAAUGGCAAAUUUUAUUUGUGAAGGGGAGAGUGCUGAAUGAGUUGACCUGCACCCUGAUGUGCCCUACUUUUAGUAUUUUACUCUGUCUUAUGCCAGAGUAUUUUACUCUGUCUAACGCCAGAUGAUUUUACUCAUCAAGUGGAGAGUGCUGCCCCUCGAUGGAUGGAUGAAUGGAAUAUUAUACUAAUUGCUUUGAACAAAGGUGAUUCCCUUUAUAGCCUGCUCGCAGCCUGAAAUUAAUUUAGAAGGGGAAAAUUUCCCCUUCUAAAUUUCAGGCUGCGAGCAGGCUAUUCCCUUUGUGGCAUAAAAUUUAACCAGGGCAUUCUUCAAGUUUUCAACACAUCUCAGGAUUUUUCUUGGC